CCCUUAGAUGUCCUGGGCUGCACGCGCGCUACACUGAUGUGUCCAGUAAGCACCUAACCUCUUCCGAAAGGAACGGGUAACCUUUGCAAAGCACAUCGUGAUGGGGAUAGAUUAUUGCAAUUAUUAGUAUUGAACGAGGAAUUCCUAGUAAGCACAAGUCAUCAGCUUGUGUUGAUUACGUCCCUGCCCUUUGUACACACCGCCCGUCGCUCCUACCGAUUGAAUGUUCCGGUGAGCUCUUCGGACUGCGCGGUCUGCAGUUUCUGCGUUCCGUGCGGAAAGUUGCGCAAACCUUAACAUUUAGAGGAAGGAGAAGUCGUAACA
rnacentral:rRNA from 1 species